CUAUAAUCCAGUGGGGACCACUCAACCCUAGGGGGACCACUCAACUCUAACCGACUAAUAUCAUCCUGACCCUACAAUUUUUCAUCCAAGGGUUAAAAACUUGAUAGCAAAAAGAGCAUUUUACUAUUAAUAGUAUUCCAGCCUAAUUCUAUAUAUAUAGUAGGUCUUGUGUGCUAUUAGAAGCACGGAGGCCUCCAUGCUCCUAAGCCGUUUUCGAUGAUGGAGCUUCCGAAUCGACUAUCGGC
rnacentral:lncRNA from 1 species